CUCUCUGUAAUCACCGUGCUGAGCUUGAUAGCUUUCAUUUCAUACCUGCUCCUCUGUCGGCUGGGCGUUUUGCCAUCAAAACAGAAGACGAGCCUGAUGAAGACGGUUGAGGAUUGCCAACCAGCUCUUCGUGAUGAGCUCCCUCGCCUGAUGAACCUGGUGGGGAAAGUUCCAGUGAAGGUCACAGUCCACCUGACAG